GCGAUAGCGCAGUCUGGUAGCGCAUCUGGUUUGGGACCAGAGGGUCGUGGGUUCGAAUCCCACUCGC
rnacentral:tRNA from 1 species